ACAAGGGGAAUCCGACUGUUUAAUUAAAAAAAAUCAUUGUGAUGGUCCAUGUGGAUGAUAAUGCAAUGUGAUUUAUACCCAGCACUAUGCAUGUGAAAGUGAAGAAAUUCAAUCAAGCACGGGUAAACGAUGGGAGUAACUAUGAGUCUCUUAAGGUAGUUAGAUGCCUAGUCAUCUAAUUAGUGAUACACAUGAAUGGAUUAACAAGAUUCCCAUGGUCCCUAACUAUUAUCUAUAGAAACCACAACCAAUGGAUAUUAG
rnacentral:ncRNA from 1 species